rnacentral:rRNA from 1 species
CGCGUAGGCUGUUGAGUAAGUCAAAUGUGAAAUCCCCGGGCUUAACCUGGGAACUGCAUUCGAUACUGCUUAACUAGAGUAUGGUAGAGGGAAGUGGAAUUCCGGGUGUAGCGGUGAAAAGCGUAGAUAUCCGGAGGAACACCAGUGGCGAAGGCGACUUCCUGGGCCAAUACUGACGCUGAGGUGCGAAAGCGUGGGGAGCAAACA